AGUAUGUCACCCCCUUGCCACCUCUCCUGAUCCUGGCCACGGCUCAGCCGUAGGGAGCCCCUCCCCCAACACGUGCAAGCAGACACGCAGGGAAGACGCUGCCGGGACGCUCAGCACCGCACGCACAAGCGAUGCACGCAGUGCACAAACAGAGGCACACGCUCUCCCCAAGAUCCAGGCUCAAGAGUCAGCAGGUGAAGACCAGGGAGGGACAGCCCAGCUAUCAACCUAAAGGGAAUGUUCCUCCACCUUCUGUACCAGCUACCGCCGGAAAGGAUCAGACCCGGGGUCCCAGCUCUGACCCAAGCCCAUGGAGGUGCAGCACCCAAAGGAAGUGUCCACCCCACUCUGCAGCCCAGACCUGGCCCUCACAGCUGAGGGACAUGGAGUCAAAAAAGAAAGGGAGCUGGAACACAAAUGAGGCAUGAUGUGGUUGAUGACUUUAUUUUUGCAUAAAAAA